rnacentral:rRNA from 1 species
AGAAUCAACGCUGGCGGCGUGCCUAACACAUGCAAGUCGAACGAGAAAGUGGAGCAAUCCAUGAGUAAAGUGGCGACCGGGUGAGUAACACGUGACUACCUACCCUUGAGUGGGGGAUAACCUCGGGAAACCGAGGCUAAUACCGCAUAAUAUCGAAAGAUCAAAGGAGCAAUUCGCUUAAGGAGGGGGUCGCGGCAGAUUAGCUAGUUGGCGGGGUAAUGGCCCACCAAGGCAGUGAUCUGUA